GACGCUACUUCUUCCCGGUUAGGUCCGCCCAGCCUAAUGACUUUCCAGCCGUGACGUUCUGACCCAGCCGAUUCACCUGUAGUGCCGUCCGUAGACCUGCCUGUUUUCCAAAUAAAAUAUCUUAAAACUGUG